GAUGAACGCUGGCGGCGUGCUUAACACAUGCAAGUCGAGCGAAGCACUUUGGAAAGAUUCUUCGGAUGAUUUCCUUUGUGACUGAGCGGCGGACGGGUGAGUAACGCGUGGGUAACCUGCCUCAUACAGGGGGAUAACAGUUAGAAAUGACUGCUAAUACCGCAUAAGACCACGGUACCGCAUGGUACAGUGGUAAAAACUCCGGUGGUAUGAGAUGGACCCGCGUCUGAUUAGGUAGUUGGUGGGGUAACGGCCUACCAAGCCGACGAUCAGUAGCCGACCUGAGAGGGUGACCGGCCACAUUGGGACUGAGACACGGCCCAGACUCCUACGGGAGGCAGCAGUGGGGAAUAUUGCACAAUGGAGGAAACUCUGAUGCAGCGACGCCGCGUGAAGGAUGAAGUAUUUCGGUAUGUAAACUUCUAUCAGCAGGGAAGAAAAUGACGGUACCUGACUAAGAAG
rnacentral:rRNA from 1 species